rnacentral:rRNA from 1 species
GAUGAACGCUGGCGGCGUGCCUAAUACAUGCAAGUCGAGCGAACAGACGAGGAGCUUGCUCCUCUGACGUUAGCGGCGGACGGGUGAGUAACACGUGGAUAACCUAUCUAUAAGACUGGGAUAACUUCGGGAAACCGGAGCUAAUACCGGAUAAUAUAUUGAACCGCAUGGUUCAAUAGUGAAAGAUGGCUUUGCUGUCACUUAUAGAUGGAUCCGCGCCGCAUUAGCUAGUUGGUAAGGUAACGGCUUACCAAGGCAACGAUGCGUAGCCGACCUGAGAGGGUGAUCGGCCACACUGGAACUGAGACACGGUCCAGACUCCUACGGGAGGCAGCAGUAGGGAAUCUUCCGCAAUGGGCGAAAGCCUGACGGAGCAACGCCGCGUGAGUGAUGAAGGUCUUCGGAUCGUAAAACUCUGUUAUUAGGGAAGAACAAAUGUGUAAGUAACUAUGCACGUCUUGACGGUACCUAAUCAGAAAGCCACGGCUAACUACGUG